rnacentral:rRNA from 1 species
AAUGGGCGAAAGCCUGAUGCAGCAACGCCGCGUGAGGGACGACGGCCUUCGGGUUGUAAACCUCUUUUAGCAAGGAAGAAGCGAAAGUGACGGUACUUGACAGAAAAAAGCGCCGGCUAACUACGUGCCAGCAGCCGCGGUAAUACGUAGGGCGCAAGCGUAAAUCCGGAAUUAUUGGGCGUAAAGAGCUCGUAGGCGGUUUGUCGCGUCUGCUGUGAAAUCCCGAGGCUCAACCUCGGGUCUGCAGUGGGUACGGGCAGACUAGAGUGCGGUAGGGGAGAUUGGAAUUCCUGGUGUAGCGGUGGAAUGCGCAGAUAUCAGGAGGAACACCGAUGGCGAAGGCAGAUCUCUGGGCCGUAACUGACGCUGAGGAGCGAAAGGGCGGGGAGCAAACAGGCUUAGAUACCCUGGUAGUCCACCCCGUAAACGUUGGGAACUAGUUGUGGGGUCCAUUCCACGGAUUCCGUGACGCAGCUAACGCAUUUAAGUUCCCCGCCUGGGGAGUACGGCCGCAAGGCUA